rnacentral:rRNA from 1 species
GGCCAGACUCCUACGGGAGGCAGCAGUGGGGAAUAUUGCACAAUGGGGGAAACCCUGAUGCAGCGACGCCGCGUGAGCGAUGAAGUAUUUCGGUAUGUAAAGCUCUAUCAGCAGGGAAGAAAAUGACGGUACCUGACUAAGAAGCCCCGGCUAACUACGUGCCAGCAGCCGCGGUAAUACGUAGGGGGCAAGCGUUAUCCGGAUUUACUGGGUGUAAAGGGAGCGUAGACGGCCAGACAAGUCAGAAGUGAAAGCCCAGGGCUCAACCCUGGGACUGCUUUUGAAACUGCCGGGCCGGAGUGCAGGAGAGGUAAGCGGAAUUCCUAGUGUAGCGGUGAAAUGCGUAGAUAUAAGGAGGAGCACCGGUGGCGAAGGCGGCCUGCUGGACUGCAACUGACGUUGAGGCCCGAAAGCGUGGGGAGCAAACAGGAUUAGAUACCCUCGUACUC